GGAAGGAUCAUUACCUAGAGUUGUAGGCUUUGCCUGCUAUCUCUUACCCAUGUCUUUUGAGUACCUUCGUUUCCUCGGCGGGUCCGCCCGCCGAUUGGACAAUUUAAACCAUUUGCAGUUGCAAUCAGCGUCUGAAAAAACAUAAUAGUUACAACUUUCAACAACGGAUCUCUUGGUUCUGGCAUCGAUGAAGAACGCAGCGAAAUGCGAUAAGUAGUGUGAAUUGCAGAAUUCAGUGAAUCAUCGAAUCUUUGAACGCACAUUGCGCCCCUUGGUAUUCCAUGGGGCAUGCCUGUUCGAGCGUCAUUUGUACCUUCAAGCUCUGCUUGGUGUUGGGUGUUUGUCUCGCCUCUGCGUGUAGACUCGCCUCAAAACAAUUGGCAGCCGGCGUAUUGAUUUCGGAGCGCAGUACAUCUCGCGCUUUGCACUCAUAACGACGACGUCCAAAAGUACAUUUUUACACUCUUGACCUCGGAUCAGGUAGGGAUACCCGCUGAACUUAAGCAUAUCAAUAAGCGGAGGAAAAGAAACCAACAGGGAUUGCCCUAGUAACGGCGAGUGAAGCGGCAACAGCUCAAAUUUGAAAUCUGGCGUCUUUGGCGUCCGAGUUGUAAUUUGCAGAGGGCGCUUUGGCAUUGGCAGCGGUCCAAGUUCCUUGGAACAGGACGUCACAGAGGGUGAGAAUCCCGUACGUGGUCGCUAGCCUUUACCGUGUAAAGCCCCUUCGACGAGUCGAGUUGUUUGGGAAUGCAGCUCUAAAUGGGAGGUAAAUUUCUUCUAAAGCUAAAUACUGGCCAGAGACCGAUAGCGCACAAGUAGAGUGAUCGAAAGAUGAAAAGCACUUUGGAAAGAGAGUUAAAAAGCACGUGAAAUUGUUGAAAGGGAAGCGCUUGCAGCCAGACUUGCCUGUAGUUGCUCAUCCGGGUUUUUACCCGGUGCACUCUUCUAUAGGCAGGCCAGCAUCAGUUUGGGCGGUUGGAUAAAGGUCUCUGUCAUGUACCUCUCUUCGGGGAGAACUUAUAGGGGAGACGACAUGCAACCAGCCUGGACUGAGGUCCGCGCAUCUGCUAGGAUGCUGGCGUAAUGGCUGUAAGCGGCCCGUCUUGAAACACGGACCAAGGAGUCUAACAUCUAUGCGAGUGUUUGGGUGUCAAGCCCGAGCGCGUAAUGAAAGUGAACGGAGGUGGGAACCUUUCGGGGUGCACCAUCGACCGAUCCUGAUGUCUUCGGAUGGAUUUGAGUAAGAGCAUAGCUGUUGGGACCCGAAAGAUGGUGAACUAUGCUUGAAUAGGGUGAAGCCAGAGGAAACUCUGGUGGAGGCUCGCAGCGGUUCUGACGUGCAAAUCGAUCGUCAAAUUUGGGCAUAGGGGCGAAAGACUAAUCGAACUAUCUAGUAGCUGGUUCCUGC
rnacentral:misc_RNA from 1 species